UACAGAGGUCUCAAGCGUUGUUCGGAUUUAUUGGGCGUAAAGGGCGCGUAGGCGGCUCGGCACGUCCGUUGUGAAAUCGCCCGGCUCAACUGGGCGGGGUCAGCGGAUACGGCCGAGCUUGAGCAAGCUAGGGGGCAAUGGAAUUCCCGGUGUAGUGGUGGAAUGCGUAGAUAUCGGGAGGAACACCAGUGGCGAAGGCGGUUGCCUGGAGCUUUGCUGACGCUGAUGCGCGAAAGCGUGGGGGAGCGAUCCGG
rnacentral:rRNA from 1 species